GGACCAAAGGUCUGAAACACUGAUGAAGCCCAGGCACUGCAUUUGCGGAAGGUUUUCCAACAGAAUCACAGCAUUGGUCUGGUCUCAGAGAAGCAAAAUGGGCUAGAGCUGAACUCCCAGCAGGAGAAAGGUCUUCUUCGGCCCUCCUUCCUGUGCUCCAGGAGAAGUCAUAGUAACUUGUUCAGACAGGUGGAUGGUGCAUGUGGGAAAAAGCUCAUUCCACGUGAACAUGAUGGCGAGCAAGUGAUCUUGAUGUAAGUAGAGGGUCAGUUUGGCUCAGGUCAGCAUUGGUCACUGAGCUCACCUGCCCUCAUGACUCCUGGCUGAGGUAGGAUGAGAGGCUACAAGCAAAAUCUGGCUGAAUGGCUUGUCUGCAAAAUGUCAGAAUAUCUGCAAAAAUCAUCACCGUGGGAGAUGCAGGCACAGUGGAGCGCUGGGGGAUUGGGAGCCUGUAGGAGACCAGCCUUGGUGACUCCCAGGAGUCAUUCAAAAUGACAUUUCCUUUGGAGCCUAGAGAUUCCUGGAAGGCUGGGGGAGCGGCUGGGGCCUCCUUUCCCCCAGUCCUGGUCCUGUGUCCCAGAGAACCCGGGCUGUGAAAACUGAGAGUGAGACUACACUUUUAAAGGGGAUUCUAAGACUCAUAUCACCCAG
rnacentral:lncRNA from 1 species